GGAAAAUCAUCCGUUCUUAUGGACGUUAAGCCUUGGGAUGAUGAAACCGAUAUGAAGAAACUGGAGGAGGCUGUUCGCAGUGUUCAGAUGGACGGGCUUCUCUGGGGAGCAUCCAAAUUGGUCCCAGUUGGAUACGGGAUUAAGAAAUUGCAGAUCAUGCUUACCAUCGUGGAUGACCUCGUCUCUGUGGAUACCCUCAUUGAGGAACGUCUAACAGAGGAACCUAUCAACGAAUACGUCCAGAGCUGUGAUAUUGUUGCCUUCAACAAAAUUUAAGGUCAACACAGAGAUGGAACUUCCUAUCCAGAUUUAGCCUUGUCUGGCUGUAUUUUUGCUAGUUUUUGAGUUAUUUUGAUACUCUAUCGUCGUCGUUCUUUUUCGUUCAAGUGCCUUUAGUCAUGAGAAUGAGAAUUUAACUGUGAAAGCAUAUGGAACUGAGAAUUAAGAUCAUCAAUUAUAGCUUUUCUUUUUUGCUUUUUCUGUCACAGUAAUUUUGGAUCUCUCAAUUUGUUUUUCCUAAUCAGUGGCAGUGUAAACCAGCAAUAAGUUGGCAGAUGAUUGUUGAUUACGCGUUU
rnacentral:misc_RNA from 1 species